rnacentral:misc_RNA from 1 species
GAUGAAGAACGCAGCGAAAUGCGAUAAGUAAUGUGAAUUGCAGAAUUCAGUGAAUCAUCGAAUCUUUGAACGCACAUUGCGCCCGCCAGUAUUCUGGCGGGCAUGCCUGUUCGAGCGUCAUUUCAACCAUCAAGCCCCCGGCUUGUGUUGGGGACCUGCGGCUGCCGCAGGCCCUGAAAAGCAGUGGCGGGCUCGCUGUCACACCGAGCGUAGUAGCAUACAUCUCGCUCUGGGCGUGCUGCGGGUUCCGGCCGUUAAACCACCUUCAUAACCCAAGGUUGACCUCGGAUCAGGUAGGAAGACCCGCUGAACCUAAGCAUAUCAAUAAGCGGAGGA